rnacentral:rRNA from 1 species
UAACACGUGGGUAACCUGCCCAAGAGACUGGGAUAACACCUGGAAACAGAUGCUAAUACCGGAUAACAACACUAGACGCAUGUCUAGAGUUUAAAAGAUGGUUCUGCUAUCACUCUUGGAUGGACCUGCGGUGCAUUAGCUAGUUGGUAAGGUAACGGCUUACCAAGGCAAUGAUGCAUAGCCGAGUUGAGAGACUGAUCGGCCACAUUGGGACUGAGACACGGCCCAAACUCCUACGGGAGGCAGCAGUAGGGAAUCUUCCACAAUGGACGCAAGUCUGAUGGAGCAACGCCGCGUGAGUGAAGAAGGGUUUCGGCUCGUAAAGCUCUGUUGGUAGUGAAGAAAGAUAGAGGUAGUAACUGGCCUUUAUUUGACGGUAAUUACUUAGAAAGUCACGGCUAACUACGUGCCAGCAGCCGCGGUAAUACGUAGGUGGCAAGCGUUGUCCGGAUUUAUUGGGCGUAAAGCGAGUGCAGGCGGUUCAAUAAGUCUGAUGUGAAAGCCUUCGGCUCAACCGGAGAAUUGCAUCAGAAACUGUUGAACUUGAGUGCAGAAGAGGAGAGUGGAACUCCAUGUGUAGCGGUGGAAUGCGUAGAUAUAUGGAAGAACACCAGUGGCGAAGGCGGCUCUCUGGUCUGCAACUGACGCUGAGGCUCGAAAGCAUGGGUAGCGAACAGGAUUAGA